UGAGGAAUCUUGUGCAAUGGGGGAAACCCUGACGCAGCAACGCCGCGUGAGGGGAGAAGGCCUAACGGUUGUAAACCUCUGUCAUAUGGGAAGAAGGAAUGACAGUACCAUAUGAGGAAGCUCCGGCUAACUACGUGCCAGCAGCCGCGGUAAUACGUAGGGAGCAAGCGUUGUCCGGAAUUACUGGGCGUAAAGGGUGCGCAGGCGGUUUGAUAAGUCAGAUGUGAAAGCCCAUGGCUUAACUGUGGAAGUGCAUUUGAAACUGUCAGACUUGAGUAUCAGAGGGGAAAGUGGAAUUCCCGGUGUAGAGGUGAAAUUCGUAGAUAUCGGGAGAAACACCAGUGGCGAAGGCGGUUUCCUGGUCUGAUACUGACGCUGAGGCGCGAAAGUGUGGGGAGCAAACA
rnacentral:rRNA from 1 species